GAGUUUGAUCGUGGCUCAGAUUGAACGCUGGCGGCAUGCCUUACACAUGCAAGUCGAACGGCAGCACGGGAGCUUGCUCCUGGUGGCGAGUGGCGAACGGGUGAGUAAUGCAUCGGAACGUAUCCUGGAGUGGGGGGAUAACGUAGCGAAAGUUACGCUAAUACCGCAUAUUCUGUGAGCAGGAAAGCGGGGGACCUUCGGGCCUCGCGCUCUUGGAGCGGCCGAUGUCGGAUUAGCUAGUUGGUGAGGUAAAGGCUCACCAAGGCGACGAUCCGUAGCAGGUCUGAGAGGAUGAUCUGCCACACUGGAACUGAGACACGGUCCAGACUCCUACGGGAGGCGAGCAGUGGGGAUUUUGGACAAUGGGGCAACCCUGAUCCAGCCAUGCCGCGUGAGUGAAGAAGGCC
rnacentral:rRNA from 1 species